CUUACCCCUGAGGGCACCCUUGCAAACCACUUGUGCAAGAGGCUGCCUUGGACAAAUUAACCCUUCCUGGGCAUCCUACUUGACACUGAGCCCUUGUGCAAUGCUGGGAAAUGUGGCUGGCUGGAUGAACAGGAAAUUGGGUUCCAUCCAACUCCGCUUGCGGAGAAGGAAGUCCUUGGAGGGUGCAUUGUGUAUGGUGGCUGGCUCUGGCAAGAGGUAGAUGCAGCAGCAGCCACGUGUGCUGGGAAGGGAGGCUGCAAACAGGCGCUCUAAGUGGCUUGGUGCUUCCUCUCUGCCGUCAGGAAGGUCCUGCAUCUCCAUGGGGCUCUAGCAAGAGAUGGAUUUUCCCCAUGCCGACCCCUGAACCCACCUUUCGGAGACUUCUACAUGCUGGCGGCCUGGCUGCCGUCUGAUCGGUCAUGCGGUAAAGCAGGAGAUGGACACACUGGGGUGAGGGCUGACAGACCUCAGGCUCAAUGCAUGGUUUUGCUCUACAGGACCACAACUGCCUGGGCUCCAGCCCAGGAUGCAGAGGGAAGUUCAUGUGAAUGGGCAGUACGGCCCCACAGCGACUGGUCCCUUCAGGUUUUGAAGGCUCCCGCAUGCUUCCUCUUGCUCCUUCUCUCUCCUCGCUCAUCAUCUUCGUGACAUUUUAAAGAGACAUGCAACUCACAUGGCACAAUCUGGCGUAACCCAUGUGUGCACGAUACAUGUGACGAGGGGGCUGAAACUGCCAUUGAAAAUCCCAUAUGGAACCUGGUUAGACCUAGCAGAACUUCUUUGUUUGACAAAAAGCAGUUUUUUCUCCAGAGUGGAGCGCUCACUUCCAACUAUUUUUCCAGGUUUUGGCAAAAAUAAAAUAAAUAAAUUCCAAAAUGAAGAAACUUUAGCAGAUUUUUUUUUAAUCUACGUUUUUCUUGGGAAAACAAGCUACUUCCUGAGCAAGCUUGGUCCUGGUUCAUGUAAGGGUGGCUUAAGCAGAGCGACAACUCAGUGAAGAACAUUUUCCCUCUUGACACCAGGACAAACUAUUUCUUCAGAGCAAAGGAAAUGCCCUGGUGAAUCACCUCGGAAGUCCCACUUACUUCCACUUGAUUUCUUUAUGGGGACCAGUGGAGAGGAGAUGCACAAAACCCCAUGAUGGAUUGCUAUGGGAUUAUCUGUCCAUGGAAGACAGAUAAUUCCACAAUCGGCUCCAUAAUCCCAGAGUUUAUGUUUUAAGGCACAAUGAUUUAUACUCCUUGCACCUUUUUACUCUAGUCAAUGUAACCUCUUUCCCCAUUGGAGAUAGUACUGGAUUCUGACCCAAAUGGCCCCAACAUAGCCUCCCACAGGUUAUCCUUGCAUUGCUCCCAUUCUGGGCUGCUCUCCACCUACAUGUGGGUCCCAGUCACUGAUUUAGCAGGACACUUGGCUGAACUGAGAUAUACCAACCCACUUAUGAUGACAGGGACUAUGGAAAAUGCAUGGAUUUCUAUGACCAUCAGUCCUGGAGCACCUGAAACAUGGCAUUCCCCCUGCUGGCUUUAUCUCUUUGCACAUUUUCACUCAAUCUUGGGAGUGCUUUGGCCAAAUCUCUCUGUCUUGGGUGCUCUAGAUAUGUUGCAACUGAAACUGAGACCUAACUUUCCCCAGAAUUACUCCAGAAUUUGAGUAUAAAUUAUUCUGACAUCUCUUCUUGCACAUCCAAGGACACAGUGGUCAUGAAAACCAUGGAAGACCACUGAUUCAACCUUUAGCACAAACAUAAAUGACAGCUUUGGAGGCUUGCAUGGACUUAGCUACUCAUAGGACAGCUCAGCAGGACCAGAGAGAGGGAGCCAACUCCCAGCAGAUUUCCCCACUGUUGGCAGCUCAAGCCCCCGUAAGUAGGUCAGGCCAGAACAGCAGCUGAGGGAAGCUUUGGGAAUACGGAUCUUUCCAAAGAAGAGAGAAAUAUUUUUAGGGGCCCAGGGUUUGUAACAUGUGAAUCUGAUGUUACAGUUUGGACAAUGUCACAGGUAUUUGUGGUCCUAGACAAGGGCUCCAGUCUAGGUACUAUGAUGAUACAAACAACAAAUGCAACAAAUACAAAUUGUGGCUUUCAGCUUUACGAGCCUGGUGCAAAGCCUAUUGAAGUCCAUGGCAUCUUUCCACUGGCUUCAAUCAGUUCUCCAUCAGACCCAGUGGAACCCAGGACUGCAAUGUGAAUCAUCAGGACUGGCAAAUGCAUUUAAUGGAGCUAGACCUAACGUAGUUGCCUUUCUGCUGUGGGCGGGUGGAAGGAAAGAUCCCUCCGAAGAUAUACCUGGUAGUGCCUCCAACACUCUUCUUCCUGCUGUUCAGUACUAAGAUGCUAAAUUGUAUAAAGAACAACAACCUCCUACUUCCACCAACAUGUGAAACCUAUUCUGCUGCAGCUUGGAAAUGGCAGAAUGAACUCCUCUUCCCUGAGGAUAUGCCCUGACUUCCAGGGUCUGUUUGAGAGGGAGCUAGUGGCAUGCGACUCACAGCACAUCACAUGCCACAUAACAGGAGUGCCCCACAAAUAGAAGAGAGAGGGAAGAUGCUUUGUUCCUGCCCAGUCUUUUUGUAUUCGAUGGCCCCCAACCACAUUCCUGUUUCAUUUCAGAUGGUGGCAGCUCCCUGAGAAAGGCUUUCCCAACUACAGGGUACAAGUGGUAGCUGUCUUUGGGACUUAAAGCCAUCAUCUUUGGUGUAUGUCUUGAGGGGAGGGGAUGGGGGAGACAUGUCCUGCUCUCCACCUUCUCUCUAAGGAAGGCUUGGAGGGAAGAUAUGUCCCGCUGGGUGUGAUGGGGAGGAAGAACCCGUUGGAGAACAUUUUGCUCCACUGGGGAAUUCGGUAUAUCAGUCCGGUGUCUGAGCACAGUGAUUCUCCCACUGCAGAAAGGGUCUCUGAAUUUGGGCAGCAGCAACCCGAGCUACAGUGUGAUUCAGUCUCUUCCCAUCAUCAGUGGUUCAAAAGGGAGGUGCUGCUGGCUAGAAGCACAGGGUAGGCAGCUCUGGCACAUCUGCAGCAGAACUGCACCUACCAUGGUCAGCUCUCGCCUUCCAAACUUGCCUCCUCUCUUUCUGCAAAGCCUCUCCACUGCCAACAACUGCUUUCCAGUCCCUCAGCUUGCUUUCUUUCCUUCCUCUCUUUCUUUCUCUCUCUCCACCCCCCCAGCCCCUUUCUCUCUCUUUCUUUCUCCCCUUCCUUUCUUCUUCCCGGGUUAAAAAUAAUCAAGUUUCUGGGAAGCAGCAACUCCUGCUGAGCCUCCCUCCCUACCCUUCAGAACCCCUGAGAAUAGCUUUCUGCAGUUCUCAACUCCAGCCCCUCCUCUCUGCUCUCUCUGUUCCUCCCUCCCUACCCCCCUACUGUGAUCUGACUAAUAUGCUUGGGCUCUGUUUGCCAGCUCAGCUGGAAAGGAAUUUAACCAUUUCACGGCUGAGAAGGAGGGAGAGCGGAGACCUCCCCAAGAGAGGGAGAGAGUGGAGUGGAAUAACCUUCCCCCAUCAUCCCAGCACCCCUGAUUCCCCAGGGUCAAAAAGUCUCUUCUGCCUUUUCCGGCACAGACUGUGGCUGCCUGGAGGGAAGGGAGCAGACAGCAGCUCUUCCCGCAGAGAUCCAGCUCAUGCUCCUGGGAGUCUCCUCUAAUCCUAAGCCUCAGCUUCCCUCUCCAGUAACAAAGUUCCUGGCUUCCAUGGGGUGCCCCCUACCUCUCUCUCAAACCUGGGGGCAACCACUAACCCAAGGAAUCUCCCAAAUCACCACUUCAAACCCCCGCUCCCGACAAGGAACAGUAGCCAGAACACCAAGAGGACUCGGCAGCAUGCCUUAGGUAACAGCAGGGAAGACAAUGGUGCUUCCAGUGCCCUGCCACUGCGAUAGGGGAGUAGUUGGUUACCAUAUGCCCAGACGAUUGUAGGGUGAGGACCAAGCCCCACACCACGGUGGAAGGCAAAACCCCCACAGUGCGUGCCACUCUCACAUGCAAGGAAAAUUCCUUCCUGAUCCCAAAUUUGGCAGUCAUUGAGACCUGAGCAGGAGUGCAAGCCCCUCUAGCGAGGAACCUCUGGGUUUUCUAAGUCUUAACCCAAAGUCUUGUCAGAAGCAUCAGUACACCCUGUUCAAAAACCUGCAGCUUCAGCUUCGGCCAACAUCCUAAUGCCCCUGAGAAAGGCAAAAAAAAGUCCUCUGGAAGCCCAUAGCAUUCAUGAGGGGGCAAAAUUGCCUUCCUGGCCCUAGCUGGGCUGGGCUGGGCUGGUAGCUAUGUGAGAUCACAUGGAACAUUGCUUUACAUUCAACCUGAAGAACUCACUGCUGCAGGAAACCCUCAAAUGGCUGUGGCCGGAUAAUAUCACCACCGCCAAUAACACUAGUAAUUACGCGAGCUACAGGAAUAAGAGAGAGAAGCAGAGAUCACGCUCAACAGAGUGGCUGGCCGGGAAUCUGAAACGUCUCUCCUUCAAGCCUCUCAUCAAAUGGCACUUCCACUCUGAAACAUGGCAUCAUGAAUUCACUGUUUGCUCUUUCUACAAGGCUCAGAAGUGACUAAUCCUGGGAUUUAAGAGUCAAGCUGCAGGCUUCCCCUCUGACAUAUUCUCACCAAGCAUGAAAGUUCAGCAAUCCAGAUGAGGCCCUCUGUGACAUCUGUGGCAUGCCCAUGGCCUGAAACAGGUUUGCAAAGGUGGAAUUGGGCUGGAGUAUAACUGAGUCAUGAGAUCACUCCCUCUUACACUUUAUCUACCCUGGGAAAAUAGCUGCAAUGGGUGUCAGCAGUCGGAGCUGCGGAGCAUGAUGUGGGCUCUGGAUAAAUGCAAACCACUGAUGCUUUGCCGCCCUUCUUUUGAAGUGUUGUGUCACUGGCGCUGCUAGACAUGGGGUGCCAGAUUGCAGAGACCAGCAAAUGGACUGCAGGAUGUUUUACGAUGUAAAUAGUAUGUAUUUGUCUUACCAUAAAAUCUAGAGGCCCGAGGCAGGCCAGGACCCAACUGUAAUAAAUGCUAAACAAUCACAGAACUCCCUUCACAGAGAACACCACCCACCACCUUAAAAGCAAGACCAUCCAAAAGGUAAUCACUGCACUAGUAGCAGUGAUGCACAUGAAGACUCCUUGCUCGGUCCCUUUACUGUAAUUCCAAUUUCACCUUAUCCCCUAAAUAGUAUCUCAGAGGGGUAAGACACUAGGCGGGUAAGGUGCUGGCUUGGGACCCAGAAGUUUUGCAUGAGUUUUCAAUGCGUGAUCGUGAGCAAGUUGCACAAGUCCUGAUCCGAAGGGAAUGAAAACACCCCUCCUGUUCACCACCGGCGUUGCCUUCAGAACAGGCCUCAAGUCACCCUGCUCAUGAACUGCUCAUUUGUAAAAUGUGGACAGUGGUGCUUCUCUCCCUCACUGAUAGGUGUGAGCCACUCAGAUACGAGGCGAUGGGCGCCUGGUAAUGUUGUUGGUUGCUGUUUAGGGCACCGCCCCUGUCCUCAGUCCUGUCUACAAGGCAUCUCCCUUAAACUGCACCCCAAAAGAGAAGGGCCAAAUAUAGAGAGUCACAGGUGCACAGAAAAAUUCUACUUAAAGCAAAUGCCCUACUUGAAAACGUGCUCUGUGAUCCCGAGCCUCAUGGAUCUCUCCCUGAGCUUAUUCAUCCACCCUUUGAUCUCUAAGCAAAAUGCUCAGCACCCAGGAAAAGCUGCCAGGCAUCCCGGCGAUGGAUUGGGAAACAAUGGGCAACGAGAUGAGACAUGACUGCAGGAUGUGACUCAGGGGUGAUGACGAUGACCCAAAGUGGUGCCAGAGACGCCAACCCCGCUCUCGGCAAUGACAGAUAUAGGGCGGGGGUGAGUGUGGGAAAGCUGCAGGCCUGGAGACUCAUGGGAUCCCAGCAUUAAUUCAGUGGCAUUCAUCCUGCAGGCAGAUUCAGUGGGAAGGCUGUAGGAAUGUGCACCAACGGGGCACAGAUAGCAGCGGGUCUCCCCCUACCCCCCCUUCCUCCCUGCCAGGGAGACACCAGGGACUCUACCUCAUUCAGGUGAAUGACAAUCAAGGUCAAAUACAUUUACUAUCAACCAGAUUUCACAUGCUUCUCAUACCUGAAGGGACUUUGCAAGGACAGCCAGGCACUUUACACUGAACAUACCAGCGCCAGGAAGAGCUCACCAAACAGCCGCAGCCACAGACUGGGACUCUCAGACCUAUCCUCAAUUAGCAAGCCCGCGAAUAGCUAGGAGCCGGGUUCCAGAACCUCAGCUGCCGUCGGCAGUUAGAGAGGCGAGCACCGUCCAUGGGCCAGACCAUGAUACAUACAUGUAUGUGGAAGUCAAUGAUGACAUUUCAGCCAGAUCACACUCAACACGCAUCCUUGCCAAACCUCCAGUGAGCUUUAAAUAUCAGUGUUGCAAGGUAGAUUCAGCUACAGUAAAAUUUCAUUUAAAAAUUAGGAAUGCACCAGUGUAAUGUUGUCCCACCAUCACAAUUAAGCGAGCCUGUUGCCUCUCUCUGUCCAACUCAGGUUUUUGCAUUGGUGCCCAUCACCAUGGGAUUUAAGCAUCUCCCAGGCUAACAGCAGGGCACUAAUAAGCUUCCUGAAAUCUACUCUAAAGGAUGAUUUUAAGAGUUGGUUGAAAUAUUUCAUUCUAAGCAACCCUUUUCUUUCCUUAAAAUUACUUUGGUCUAAAGUGAAUGUUUUCAUGGAGAAACUGGUAUUUUCCCAUAUGUUUAUGAUUUCUCAACACCAAACACACACACACACACACGCUAUAUAUAUCUUUUUCCUACUCCAUGACUGCUGUAUCAGAAGUAAAAGGAAAAAAGGUGGGAAAGGGAACCAAGGGAAAGAGAGGGAGCAAAAAGAUAGAUCAAAAGCAUUAUUUUUUUCCACUGAAAGAUCAGCAAAAUGCUGUUUUCCAGAAAACACAGGGCAUUUCUCAACCACCUCCACUGUUUUGCCCAGGUGCCCAAUGGCCACAUGCCACAGCCUCCCCCAGCAUUACUGAGCCCUCUCUUCACCAGGGGCUCUACUCUUUCCCUCCUAUCCCAACUCCACCAUAGCAAGCGCCGACUUGUGUAUAACUCAUCCCUGCGGGUGGGGAUGCAGGCACAUCAGCACGCCACAUUUCCUAGGUUUUACAUAGCACAGUGAAGCCCACACAAAAGCUGCUUCUGAAAAAUUACCAGAUCAGCUGAAGGAAUCUGCGCUCUGUGGAGAGACCCGAGCCGAGAAUGAAACUCAGUGCCUGCCUAUUAAAUGGAGAGCGAGGUUAAGGGAACAAACUCCCGGUGACACGGAAAAGCAGAACACUUCAGAUGAGGAACAGAUCCUCAGCUGGUGGAAGCAGGUGCAGCUUCGCUGGCUUCAACAAGGUUCACCAAUCUACACUGGCUUAAGACCAAACCUUUAUGGACCCAUAUGACUGCAAACUUUGCAGCCAGUCCCUUGACAGACCAAAACUAUGCCCCUUCAUUACUCCUGCCAGGGCUGUGGGGCUCACGCAGGUUGGGGAAAGAGAGUGGGAUUCUGUCCCAGGCGCAGAAUCGUCUUCCUAGGUUCUGUUCGUUACGAUGUCGGCAGGGCUGUCUUCGCAAGGCUGAUGGGCACCCUCUGAAACCAGAUGGGUUUGUAGGGCGUUCAUUGCCCUGGAGAGGGCACAGCCAUACCUCUACCCUCCUCAGGCAUCAUAAUGACAACCUGUUCCACCCUUCCAGUAAGCAUCACUGCUCAGCAAGGUGCCAUACCGUGCAGCUGGCAGCAUUCAGACGUAGGUCAGCUGAAUGCUUCCCACCAGCAUUGAUCACGGGGUGCAUGAUCCCAGCAGGAACAUCCACACACUCCCCAAGGAUCAGUAACUAUUGAACAUGGCAGAGGGGCAGGGCCCCUGAAUCAGAACUUCCUAGACCUUAAAUGCUGGAGGUUGCAAGUGAGAAAGGAACAGUGGGGAAAAAACCUGGUCAGACCCAGUUCACUCUCCCUUUCAGCAUCUGCUACCUGCAACAAGGGUACUGGGCAAGAAGGACCUAUGGUCUGAGCCAGUAAAUGGCAGUUCUUAUGCUUUUCUGUUCGAAGAAUCCAUAAGCAGAUGCCCACUUUAUCCAGGAGAGAUUCUCUGGUAGGUACUCAGAUACCAUGGAUACUGGUGAGUGUAGAGUGAAAGGAAGGACCCAGAGGCAGAAAAUGACAGACUAGAACUUCUUCCCAAGAGGCUUUGGUUCAGUCCCAGAACAAAAUUUCCUUUCCGAGGGAUCUUAUCCAAUGUUCAUAGAUUCAUAGAUGUUAGGGUCGGAAGGGACCUCAAUAGAUCAUCGAGUCCGACCCCCUGCAUAAGCAGGAAAGAGUGCUGGGUCUAAAUGACCCCAGCUAGAUACUCGUCUAACCUCCUCUUGAAGACCCCCAGGGUAGGGGAGAGCACCACCUCCCUUGGGAGCCCGUUCCAGACCUUGGCCACUCGAACUGUGAAGAAGUUCUUCCUUAUGUCCCAUCUAAAUCUGCUCUCUGCUAGCUUGUGGCCA